CAGUCGCCGCGGGAAUACGUAGGGUGCAAGCGUUAAUCGGAAUUACUGGGCGUAAAGCGUGCGCAGGCGGUUAUAUAAGACAGAUGUGAAAUCCCCGGGCUCAACCUGGGAACUGCAUUUGUGACUGUAUAGCUAGAGUACGGCAGAGGGGGAUGGAAUUCCGCGUGUAGCAGUGAAAUGCGUAGAUAUGCGGAGGAACACCGAUGGCGAAGGCAAUCCCCUGGGCCUGCACUGACGCUCAUGCACGAAAGCGUGGGGAGCAAACAGGAUUAGAUACCCCCGUAGUCCCUGUCUCUUAUAC
rnacentral:rRNA from 1 species